GAUGAAGAACGUAGCGAAAUGCGAUACUUGGUGUGAAUUGCAGAAUCCCGUGAACCAUCGAGUCUUUGAACGCAAGUUGCGCCCGAAGCCAUUAGGCCGAGGGCACGCCUGCCUGGGCGUCACACGUCGUUGCCCCCCCAUCUACUCCUUCGGGAUUGCGGGGGGCGGAUGAUGGCCUCUCGUGCGCCUCGUCGCGCGGUUGGCCUAAAUGCCAAGUCCUCGGCGACGCACGCCACGACAAUCGGUGGUUGCGAAACCUCGGUUGCCUGUCGUGUGCGGUCGUCGCGCAUCGAGGGCUCGAAAAAAUUGCCGGGCUUCGGCUCGACUUUCAACGCGACCCCAGGUCAGGCGGGGUUACCCGCUGAAUUUAAGCAUAUCAAUAAGAGGAGGA
rnacentral:misc_RNA from 1 species